UAUCUGUUGGGUGAUGGAGGCGCUAUGGUGGACGGUGGAGGGUUACCAGAGCUAGUUCCGACUUACUCGUCUUGGCACUCUCUAGCUUUCCCUCUUGAUUCUCACGAAGGUGAGCUAGACUUGCUUGGCCACGCCGGCGUCCUCAAGCUGUUCUUCUUCCUUCGCCAACGACACUCUAGCGGCACUUGUACCUAGGAUGAUGGCAACGGAUUGGUGGAAAUGAUCGCGACUCUGAAACAAGAGGGUCAGAGUAGAAGCCGCCAUGAUCAACUACAGCCUGGAGACAGUUCAAAUAUGAGCUUGCAUGUGGCUUUCCCAAAUUGGUAACCUGGGGUGGACUAUGAGGCCUUACCUUACGGUUGGUGAGCCACUGGUGCUUCUUUUUUGAAGCAUUGAGAGAGAAGCAUGGGAGAAAGACAAAGGCAGAGAAUGAAGGGGAGAAGGAGGGAGAGAGGUGAGCGAGCCUGCAUGGUGGGAAAGCUGGAGGUAGUAGAAGCAAUAGUUUGGAAGAAGAAGAUUAAUGGAAGUUGUAGUGCUGGCAAUAAUAUGAAUCAUAGAAAGAGGAAGAAGGAAAGAAAGAAAGACGGCUGUGCGUCAGAGAUAGAACGAAGAAAGAAUUUUUUUUAUCUUUUAAAAAUCCAUAUGGCUGACACGUGUCAAGUAACGGUCAACUCACAAUCAACACCGACAAUGGGAUAAUAUUACAUAUUUUUUUAAAAUUUUAAUGUGAUAUUGUUCUAACAAAAAAAAUUAAAAAAUCA